rnacentral:piRNA from 1 species
UUACACUUUCCCAGUCUCUGAAAGAUAGA